AGUCGAGCGCGCCCUUCGGGGUGAGCGGCGGACGGGUGAGUAACGCGUGGGAAUAUGCCCUUCUCUAAGGAAUAGCCUCUGGAAACGGAGAGUAAUACCUUAUACGCCCUUUGGGGGAAAGAUUUAUCGGAGAAGGAUUAGCCCGCGUUAGAUUAGGUAGUUGGUGGGGUAAUGGCCUACCAAGCCUACGAUCUAUAGCUGGUUUGAGAGGAUGAUCAGCCACACUGGGACUGAGACACGGCCCAGACUCCUACGGGAGGCAGCAGUAGGGAAUCUUAGACAAUGGGGGCAACCCUGAUCUAGCCAUGCCGCGUGUGUGAUGAAGGCCUUAGGGUCGUAAAGCACUUUCGCCAGAGAUGAUAAUGACAGUAUCUGGUAAAGAAACCCCGGCUAACUCCGUGCCAGCAGCCGCGGUAAUACGGAGGGGGUUAGCGUUGUUCGGAAUUACUGGGCGUAAAGCGCACGUAGGCGGAUUAGUAAGUUAGAGGUGAAAUCCCAGGGCUCAACCCUGGAACUGCCUUUAAUACUGCUAGUCUUGAGUUCGAGAGAGGUAAGUGGAAUUCCGAGUGUAGAGGUGAAAUUCGUAGAUAUUCGGAGGAACACCAGUGGCGAAGGCGGCUUACUGGCUCGAUACUGACGCUGAGGUGCGAAAGUGUGGGGAGCAAACAGGAUUAGAUACCCUGGUAGUCCACACCGUAAACGAUGAAUGCCAGACGUCAGCAAGUAUACUUGUUGGUGUCACACCUAACGGAUUAAGCAUUCCGCCUGGGGAGUACGGUCGCAAGAUUAAAACUCAAAG
rnacentral:rRNA from 1 species